CCUACGGGAGGCUGCAGUGGGGAAUAUUGGACAAUGGGGGGAACCCUGAUCCAGCCAUGCCGCGUGUGUGAAGAAGGCCCUCGGGUUGUAAAGCACUUUCAGUGAGGAAGAACGCCUGGUGGUUAAUACCCAUCAGGAAAGACAUCACUCACAGAAGAAGCACCGGCUAACUCCGUGCCAGCAGCCGCGGUAAUACGGAGGGUGCGAGCGUUAAUCGGAAUUACUGGGCGUAAAGCGCGCGUAGGUGGCUUGAUAAGCCGGUUGUGAAAGCCCCGGGCUCAACCUGGGAACGGCAUCCGGAACUGUCAAGCUAGAGUGCAGGAGAGGAAGGUAGAAUUCCCGGUGUAGCGGUGAAAUGCGUAGAGAUCGGGAGGAAUACCAGUGGCGAAGGCGGCCUUCUGGACUGACACUGACACUGAGGUGCGAAAGCGUGGGUAGCAAACAGGAUUAGAUACCCCGUAGUC
rnacentral:rRNA from 1 species